UCAUAUUCAAAGUAAACGCCAUUCACCAAGCCACUGCACUAAGAUCCAACGUAAGUACAUUUAUCUGUAUUCUUUAACUGUUGUUUUUUUUCUUCUUACUUUUUAUAAAGUUUCUAUUAUAAAGGAACAGAAUGAUGUUCCCGUAAAGUUUUGACGUCAUAAAACAAAACAUCUGACGCCACAAUGGAAAAGUGAUUGUCAAAAGUUAGAGAGGCCGGUAUAUAUGUCAAAAUACAGGAUUUGGUGUUUCAAGCAUGAUUUUUGUGCUCCAAGCAUUAUCACUACCAGCGACGUCACAAUGUGCAAAAUGAUGUGAGAGGUGAAAUUUAUCAGCACUGUCACAAUCGUGACAAUGCGGGUUUUCUUCGUAUAUAUGUCGGAAAAUAUCAGCCGCUCGUCAAAAAGGUUCACAUUGUGCCUCGGGGCUGAUAUUUUUACGAUAUCAGCAUGUAGAAAACCCGAUAAUUUAUACAUAUCGCACCACUAUUCUGGUUUUACAACACGUGCAUGAUGUAAUACAUAAAACCAUUUUAGAAGAGAGACAUGAUAGAUAUGAAAUUAAAUUUUUGUUGUACUCUUGCUUUAUAUUAAAUUUUGCUAAUUUUUAGAACCUUACAGUGUAGCUAAUUUGAUUCAAUUGAUGGAUAGGCAUAUCCAUGUGUUAAAAUAUACUCAAGUGUAUUUACAAUAUAAAGUCUUGUGCAUUGAACUCAUAAACUAAAGAACUGAUAAAAAUUUAGUAUGAAUAAAUACAAAAGAUUUUUUACAAAAAUCAACUUUGUAGUUUUUAAUUUCUGUGUCAUUUUGGUCUCUUGUGGAGAGUUGUCUCAUUGGCAUUCAUACCACAUCUUCUUUUUUUAUAUUUUAUAUUUCUGUUUUUAAAUUAAGGUUAUGUUUUUUUUAAUUACAUAUUUUAAUUUUUUAUUAUUAUUUGAAAAAUCCGGAUAAUUUUAAACAUUUUUGACAUUUUACUAUGUUUUACAAUUGUAUUUCUAUAUAGGUAUAUAUAUUUGUAUAUGUUCAUAAGCUAUAUGUAUAGUAGGGUAUUAUAUUCUGUGUAUGCUACGUAAGCUUGUGAUGGCAAUAUAAAUGUAUAUUAUAUAUAUAUUAUAUUUAACUGUAAUGUAUAAUUUGCAUCAAACUCAUGAUAGACGAGGAUAUCAGUUAAUGAUUAAUACAUUAUUGCUUUUCUGGGUUAAUUAAAAAUAAUAUGUAUUAUAUUUAUCUGUAUUAUAACAUUAUAUGACAUUUAUAUAAAUUAUUAUUUUGCAAGGGACAAUAUAAUUUACAAAAAAAUCAUACCACUACUCCUUUAAUUAUUAUUAUUAUAUGUAUAUAAUGACUGAAUAAAUAGUCAACGAUUAAUCUGUAUUAUAUAUUAUAUGUUCCCAGACCGUAUCUAUGGUGUUUUUGGACCGUAUGCUUAGCUACUUUUUCAAAAUACUCAUACGGUCGAACUAAUAUAAAGAAGUUUCUCAAGUUUAAUGCAAAUGCAUAUAUAAACAGAUCAAGAUAACUUAACUCUCAAAUUUAUAUAAAAAAGUUCAAAUGUAAUUGAAAUAAAAACUUUAUAUUUUAACUAUUUAAAAAAAUCGCGCUAAUUAAAUCUGUUAAUUUCUUGUAUGUCUUACUUUUAAAACAUGUCGACCAGUAAUACAUUAAUUGAAUUAUAUGAUCACUGAAAUUGAAGAUAUCGGAAGAAAACAUAAUGUGGGAGGACACUAUUUAGCAAUUUUAGAAACAAAAAAAUGUAAAUGCAAGGGAACAUGCAUGAACAGCAAACAUUUAAACGCAAAAAAAAUACGUCCAUCUAAUUGUAAUAAUAACAAUUUGUAAUACUAAAAAUAAAGAUUGUGAUAAUGGUUGUCUAAAUGUAAACCAUAUAAUCCAAUAACAUGUAUGGUCAGCUCGUACUGGACCAUACGCGUAUACUCAUACGGUCCGAUCGCACGCGUAUGGUCGGACCGUACGAGUAUACGUAUAUACGGUCCGGACCGUACUCCGGCGUACGGUCCAAAUACUCAAUGGUCUGGAACAUAUAUAUGGCAAAUUUGUAAAUGUAAAACAUACAUUUAUUGAUCAUAAUUUUCAAUUAUAUAUUUUUUUAUAUUUUUGGCAGUGGCUUAUUUGCCGGUGAAACAGUAAUUAUGAUCUGAUUAUAAUAUCUCGAUUAAAAGCGAGCUAUAAAUAGCUGUACCAUAAUUCAUGGAAUUUUUUCUUAUUAAGAUUUCCAAAUUGAUGAAAACAAAUAUUCUGUUCGAGUACAGGACAAAAAAUAUUCUGAAUCCAGAUUCCACCCAUACCUUAUAGUGUUAGAUUUAAAAAAAAAAAUUGAUUGAUAUCGUUGAAAAAUUUAAAUAAAAUUGUUUGCACUUCACUGACUCAAGCAAAAACCAUGACCCUCCUUGAAGUUAAAUUGUUUCUCCCUGACAGUCUACAGUUUAUUUUUAAAUUAUAUUUAAUAUCACUAUGCAAAUUUUAUCAAUGUCAAUUUUUGUAGAGUCUUACAUGAAGAACUACAUGUACCCCUCAGCAAGGACAUCAGAUAUUGAAGAAUUGAUUGGGGAAACCCUAAAACAUACACCCCCAAAACCAGGCGGAACACGCUAUAAGGUAAGAAUACCCUUAUUUCCCCCGUAUAGUGCAACCUAUAUUGGAAUAUUUCCCAAAAUUAUUAUUGUUUGUAUUCUAUGUUGUUUGUUUUUUUUUAAUCAGUACGAAAUUGUUAUUAUAGAUAUGCAUUUGUAACUAGCAUUGUGAAGAUCAAGAUACUCUUUUGGGACAAUAAAGGGUAACAUUAAAUUUAACUGAAUAUAUAAUUAUGUGGUUUAUGUGUUUUUCAAGGAGAUUUGGAAAGCCACGUCUUACACACAGCUACAUAGAUCUAGUAUUUAUUUGCAAUAAUGUUUGACCUAGAAUAAUUACAAUUUAACUUUUUGUACAAAUAAGUGUUUGUAUUGUCAUUGCAGGAACCAACUGUAAGAGGGUAAUUGCAGCAGCUCCGGAAAUACCACUACCAGGGACCCAGGAGAAC
rnacentral:lncRNA from 1 species